CAUUUGGAACGUAGCCUCUGUUGACAGCCUCAGAAUAUACAGGGAUUUCCUCAGGGAUUAAUGCACAGGGUGGAAGUUACAGUCCCCAUUGUUAACCAAAUGCUUUUCUUUUUCACGUUGAGAGCUGAGUCUCCUAGCAACGUGGGAAACAUUGGACACCAAGUCAGAGUCUGAAGACUGAGGAGAGGCUAAUGUGGACAUUCUGAGAUCAGCAUGUCGGUCUUGAACAGCCCAGAUCCCUGUGGUGAAAAGAAAAUAUCUGACAGGAACACGGGUCAUCAUGACGAUCACGUUAUCCCGCGCACGGCUGACGUUUCCAACACGGCCACUAGGGGCAGUCCACGCUUUGGAGCGUUGAGUCACCACUCCUUCUUCUCCAGACACAACCCUCACCCACACAGAGUCACACACAUGCAAGGUCUAAAUGGGAUUCCAGUAUGCAUGGUGAAUGACGACUGGUACGUGACCACCUCACUGUUCCCCCAUCCGCUCAUUAAGAGUCAGGUAUUCAGGACGAGUACAGGAGCACCUUUCUCCAU